GCGUGCAUCGUAUAGUCAGGUUAUUACCUCCGGCUUCCACCCGGAUGACUACGGUUCGAAUCCGUAUGCCCGCACCA
rnacentral:tRNA from 1 species